CUGUGCUGUGGGCUCAGGAGGCAGAGCUCUGGGUGUCUCACCAUGGCUUGGACCCCUCUCAUGCUCACCCUCCUCACUCUUUGCACAGUUGU
rnacentral:pre_miRNA from 1 species